rnacentral:rRNA from 1 species
GUCGAACGCUGGCGGCGUGCCUAAUACAUGCAAGUCGAACGCAGUGGGGACGGGUGCGUAACACGUGGGUAACCUACCAUCACAGGGGAUAACACUUGGAAACAGGUGCUAAACCGAUACUGAUGGAUGGACCCGGGGUGAAUUAGCUAGUGGGUGAGUUAACGGCUCACCAAGGCCACGAUGGAUAGCUGACCGGAGAGGACGACCGGCCACACUGGGACUGAGACACGGCCCAGACUCCUACGGGAGGCAGCAGUAGGGAAUCUUCGGCAAUGGGCGAAAGUCUGACCUAGCAAUGCCGCGUGAGGGAAGAAGGUUUUCGGAUCGUAAACCUCUGUUGUUAGAGAAGCGGUAUCUAACCAAAAAGCCACGGCUAACUACGUGCCAGCAGCCGCGGUAAUAC